GGGCGUGUGGCUCAGUUGGUAGAGCGUUCGCUUAGCAUUUUCCUUGGACCCUCCCUCCUAGCGAGGGGUCGUCCGCUCCGGUUGUGCGAAAGGUCCUGGGUUCGAUUCCCAGCUCGUCCA